AUGGAAAGCAGUUCUCAGCCCAUCCGUAGCUCGUUGGAGAGAUGCCUGCUCCAAGCUGAGAUGGAUGGCUUCCUCCGUAAUGAAAACAGAGUGAGGAGCAAGACUGCACAAGCAAGACCUGCUUCUGUCUCAUCCCUGUGCAGGAGGAACGAUACUUGCAGGGGGGAGUUUUGGCCCUCUGUCUCACAGCCAGCUCUGAGGACUGUCCUGAAGGCUACUCCUCACACCAAGCGUCUUACAAGAGUGAUUAAACUGCAUGACUUAGGCUAUGGCAUCCGGAAAACAAGCAAAUACACAAUGUGCCUGCAAUUCAAAUUUUGA
ensembl:lncRNA